GGCUAAUCCAGGCUUACACAUGUUGCCCUUUUUAAUGGACGGCUUGUUGGUUGAUGACAAUUCACAAGGAGUAGAAUGGCUAUAUGGAGCUCUUUCUGCUCAUAUGUGGUCAGGGAUGAUUUGCAAGGAGUAGAGAUAAACUUUUCUUUGUUUCUAUCUUACCUUUUCUUUUUAUUUCUUUUUCUUUGGUUUUUUUUUUUUUUUUU